rnacentral:rRNA from 1 species
UACGGAGGGGGCAAGCGUUGUUCGGAAUUACUGGGCGUAAAGCGCGCGUAGGUGGUUUGGUAAGCGAGAUGUGAAAGCCCCGGGCUUAACCUGGGAACGGCAUUUCGAACUGUCAGACUAGAGUGUGGUAGAGGGUAGUGGAAUUUCCUGUGUAGCGGUGAAAUGCGUAGAUAUAGGAAGGAACACCAGUGGCGAAGGCGGCUACCUGGACCAACACUGACACUGAGGUGCGAAAGCGUGGGGAGCAAACAGG